rnacentral:lncRNA from 10 species
UCUUUCUUAUCUCAGGACAUUGCAUUCACAACACAUUCUGCAAUCAUUCUUGAGAACUCUAAGUGAGAAAAUGGGGAGAAACGGGUUGGUCUAAGGUCACCCAGAGAAUUAUUCUCCAGUCAACAUAUUUCAGUAUAUCUGCAGCAAGAUCAUAUUUCAAGUGUGCUGGUAGAGCUUCUCCUUUGAUGGAAACAUUUGUUAUACAGAUUCCAAUUUCAUGCACCAAACACUUCUGCUGAGCUCACUUCUGAGCAACUAAAUAGUGGCUUCCCUAGUAGAUUAAAACUGAACCUUAUCCAUGAAAUGUCUGGGUUCUUGAUAAUUCAGAUGUGACAUAUAGAAGAAAGUGUCGACAUGAAAGAAUUAUCCGCCAGAGAAUUCAGAGGAAAAUCAAGAAUGCAUUAUAUCAUGAAAGUAAAGAAAGGAUAAUGACCCAAAAAAGAUUAGAGCUCAGAAAGGGAAGAGUGGAGUUGUCGAGAAAGUGUUCAUCUCCUUAGAAAACAGUUCUGCUUCCUUCACUUGCAGAGAGUUGUUGUUAUGAUGAGUCUCCAAUGAACCUGCUGCAUCCCUGCUGCAUAUCUAUUAUCUGGGGUAAUCUUCCUAAAAAGCAGAGUGUCAAGCAGCAUGCCUGGUUAUUCCAACUUAUGCAGAAAUAGAAGUGUCCUAACAAUAAAAAAAGCCAGCAUGUUGUCAAGAGUAAUUAACCCUGAUAAUCAAGGGGAGCUUGGGGCAAGAUGGCCGACUAGACACAGCAAGUGGAAUUACCGCCAGCAAGGGACUGAGACAACUGGCGCACUCCUAACAAAUCAUCCGAUGGAAGGCACCAGGAGUGGCCGAGGGAAGACACAGAAGGAAGCUGGGCUGAAACAGGAGGAACAUUGCACUGGGCUACCAUGCGCUGGGACUUGUUCCUGGCCCCCAAGGACUCUCAGGGAAUGGGUGAGUUGAACUUGCAAGGAGCAACCUGUUCUAACCACGGACCUCAAGGAGAUUAACAUUUGAGUCACUGGGUUGGGGAAGAAAGAUCCACCCUUAAUCUCAUGGGCAUAACCUAAUCAGCUGCCAGCGAAUAUAAAGCAGGCAGAAAAACUUGAAAAGGAGAGACUGGCCUAGCCUCCCAGCCUACAUCUUUCUCCCGUGCUAGAUGCUUCCUGCUCUCAAACAUCAGACUCCAAGUUCUUCAGUUUUGGGACUCGGGCUGGCUCUGCCUCCUCCUCAGCUUGCAGACAGCCUAUUGUGGGACCUAGUGAUUGGAUCUAACGGUGGGAACCUAAGUCACACAACUACAAAAUUUAAAUACAAUGGGAAUAAUUGGAUGCUGAGGUGGUAGGCACCAAGUGACAGCACUCAACUAUCAACCUCAAGGUCAUCCUACAUUGGCCAAAGGAAUAAAGAAGAAUGACAGGGUUAAUGAUGGAUAUUUGAAUUAUUCUGAUUUUUCUGACGUGCAAGGUGUAGAUUCCUUUUGUUAGUCAUUCAAACCAACAGCAGCUUUAAGUAUGUAAUUUGUGAUAUCUAAUUAAUCAGUCAUUCAUAUCCAAGGUUAUAAAAACUCAUACUGUACAAUAGAGACUUGUAUCAUGUAUAAAAUAAGAAUGUAAUGUUCUUUUAGCACCACCCAAUUGGUGGGUCUGGAAAUAAUGACUUCUCUGACGAGUCCAAAUUAAAUUGGAACAAAGGUAAAAGUUCUCUCCAGGAGGCCAGACAAUGAAGAACAGGCAGUUUCUUACACAUCUCUACUUUAAUUAUAGCAAAUGGCCCAUCUGCUUCAAAACCAGA